rnacentral:misc_RNA from 1 species
UGGAUAUUUGGUUACGUAGUUAAUUCUUUAUAGUUUUUCAUUUCCAAAAGGGCAGCUUUAUUUAUGUUUCUGUUCCAUAAAUUGCCCUUGCUAGCCAAUUAGGCCAAUUUUUGUUCGCUUUCUCAAUGUACAUUCAAUCCUGUCACUUUUAGACCACUACUAAUUUACUUGCACUUACAGGAGAUGCAAAAUUUUUUUCCCCAAUUAUGGUAAUUCUUAUAUGGACAUUAUUUUUGAAGCUUAAACUCUUACAUUUUUAAUGCUUUAAAAUUCCACAGAAACCAGCACCCAUCAUUUGAAAAAUAUAGAAGCUAGUGACAAAUUUCAGUUUCGUGUAGAAAUUUCUCAAGUUACCAGUUUGCCUGUAACCUUGGAUCCGGAUGCUACGCAAGUAGAAAGACGUGGAAGGACUUCAUUAUCAGUCGAGGUC